rnacentral:rRNA from 1 species
CCUACGGGGGGCAGCAGUAGGGAAUCUUUCACAAUGGGCGAAAGCCUGAUGGAGCAACGCCGCGUGCAGGAAGAAGGUUUUCGGAUUGUAAACUGCUUUAGACAGGGAAGAAACAAGACAGUACCUGUAGAAUAAGCUCCGGCUAACUACGUGCCAGCAGCCGCGGUAAUACGUAGGGAGCAAGCGUUAUCCGGAUUUAUUGGGUGUAAAGGGUGCGUAGACGGGAAAUUAAGUUAGUUGUGAAAUCCCUCGGCUUAACUGAGGAACUGCAACUAAAACUGAUUUUCUUGAGUGUUGGAGAGGAA